GUAGGGUGCAAGCGUUAUCCGGGAAUCAUUGGGCGUAAAGAGCUCGUAGGCGGUUCAGCAAGUCGGCUGUGAAAUUCCGAGGGCUCAACCUCGGAACUGCAGUCGAUACUGUUGUGACUCGAGUCCGGUAGAGGAGAAUGGAAUUCCCGGUGUAGCGGUGAAAUGCGCAGAUAUCGGGAGGAACACCAGUAGCGAAGGCGGUUCUCUGGGCCGGCACUGACGCUGAGGAGCGAAAGCGUGGGUAGCAAACAGGAUUAGAUACCCUGGUAGUCCACGCCGUAAACGUUGGAUACUAGGUGUGGCGUUCCGACCAACGGUCGCCGUGCCGAAGCUAACGCAUUAAGUAUCCCGCCUGGGGAGUACGGCCGCAAGGCUA
rnacentral:rRNA from 1 species